CAUGUACUCCCUCCGUCCCAAAAUUCUUGUCUUAGAUUUGUCUAAAUACGGAUGUAUCAAGUCACGUUUUAGUAUUAGAUACAUCCGUAUCUAGGCAAAUCUAAGACAAGAAUUUUGGAACGGAGGAAGUAUAAG
rnacentral:pre_miRNA from 1 species